rnacentral:rRNA from 1 species
UAAGACAGAGGGUGCAAGCGUUGUUCGGAAUUACUGGGCGUAAAGGGAGUGUAGGCGGUGGAGUGUGUCUGGUGUGAAAGCCCUCGGCUUAACCGGGGAAAUGCAUUGGAAACUACUCUGCUGGAGUGCGAGAGAGGAAGGCGGAAUUCCUGGUGUAGAGGUGAAAUUCGUAGAUACCAGGAGGAACACCGGAGGCGAAGGCGGCCUUCUGGCUCGUAACUGACGCUGAGACUCGAAAGCGUGGGUAGCAAACAGGAUUAGAUACCCUGGUAGUCCACGCUGUAAACGAUGAUCACUAGGUAUUGGGAGUAUUGACCCUUCCAGUGCCGUAGCUAACGCAUUAAGUGAUCCGCCUGGGGAGUACGGUCGCAAGACUA